GAGGACGAGAUUCAUUUUAAGGGGGUAGAAUUGUAACACCCUAAAAUUUACUCCUUUUGAAAUAUAGAUAAAAUUAUUUAAUUUUAUAUUUUUGUGCUCAUGAAAAUAUAGGAAAAAUAAUAUUUUUUUUAAUUAAAAUUUAUCAUAAGGCUUAGCAAUAUUAUUAUGCGUACAUGCUAGUGCAUAUGUUUUGGUGUGAUGCAUGUUGCUCCUUUAUGUGUUGAGUGAGCAAAGUUUUUAAAAUGCGUUUAGUAGAUCGAUCUUCCUUGUUG
rnacentral:lncRNA from 1 species